rnacentral:lncRNA from 1 species
UGACAAUGUCAGGUCCUCAUCAGGCUCUCCAGCUCGAGUGCAUCCUUGUUUCAGCUGGUUAAAUCCCUGUUCACUUACUCUAUUAUUUAUCCUAAAUUUUAGGGUUUUUUUGACCUUCAGUCCUUAUAAGCUAAUACUUGAUUUGUCAGUAAUAUCAUUUACCUUGGGGUCAGAAACUUCUGGUCUGGUGGUCUCCACCUUGAUCUUCUCUUCUUUUCAUCUUAUCAAGUGAUGGCAGCCUGCCAGGGGCUUUACUCUCUUUAUCAGGGUGAGGGGAAAUAACUCUUUUGUGGCCAUACUGGAGCAUUCUGUGGGUGUGCCUGGUGAAACUUCAGAUUUCAAACUGGAGUUUUUAAAAUGGAUUUGUUUAGGCUCAUGCCUAAGGCCAUCCUAACACAGGCACAUGUUCUUAUGGAAAGUUAAUCAGCUUUGCCUCAGAAUUGAAACUUUGGAGCCUAUGGAUAAAACGGCUCUGAAACUCAAAUGAUGAAUCUGAUGCCAAUAUUGAUCUGAUGCCAAUAUAGAGUCCCCUAGGUUUAAUCCCAGGUAUGCUCCCCCCACAAAUAAGAAUAUAUUUAAGACAAUAUGAUUAAUGUCAUUAUACAUACGGAGUUCUUAAAAUCAUUCUUUUUGAAAUCAGAUAAAAGAACAAUAAUAAAGAUAUUCAUUAGUACUACUUCCAUUCAUUGGAGUAAACCUUCAACUUGGGAGAUUGAGGCAGGGAGAUCACAUAAGAGACCAGCAUCAGCAAUUUAGGGUUACACUCAGCAUUUUAGUAAGAACUUCCCUUUAAAAAAAAAAGUGGGCUGGAGUUGAUGGUGUAGUAAAGUGCCUCUGACCAAAAAUAAAUAAAUA